UUGAACUGAAGAGUUUGAUCAUGGCUCAGAUUGAACGCUGGCGGCAGGCCUAACACAUGCAAGUCGAGCGGAUGACAGGAGCUUGCUCCUGGAUUCAGCGGCGGACGGGUGAGUAAUGCCUAGGAAUCUGCCUGGUAGUGGGGGACAACGUUUCGAAAGGAACGCUAAUACCGCAUACGUCCUACG
rnacentral:rRNA from 3 species